rnacentral:rRNA from 1 species
AGAGUUUGAUCCUGGCUCAGGACGAACGCUGGCGGCGCGCCUAACACAUGCAAGUCGAACGAGCGAGAGAGAGCUUGCUUUCUCGAGCGAGUGGCGAACGGGUGAGUAACGCGUGAGGAACCUGCCUCAAAGAGGGGGACAACAGUUGGAAACGACUGCUAAUACCGCAUAAGCCCACGGUGCCGCAUGGCACAGAGGGAAAAGGAGCAAUCCGCUUUGAGAUGGCCUCGCGUCCGAUUAGCUAGUUGGUGAGGUAACGGCCCACCAAGGCGACGAUCGGUAGCCGGACUGAGAGGUUGAACGGCCACAUUGGGACUGAGACACGGCCCAGACUCCUACGGGAGGCAGCAGUGGGGAAUAUUGCACAAUGGGGGAAACCCUGAUGCAGCGACGCCGCGUGGAGGAAGAAGGUCUUCGGAUUGUAAACUCCUGUUGUUGGGGAAGAUAAUGACGGUACCCAACAAGGAAGUGACGGCUAACUACGUGCCAGCAGCCGCGGUAAAACGUAGGUCACAAGCGUUGUCCGGAAUUACUGGGUGUAAAGGGAGCGCAGGCGGGAAGACAAGUUGGAAGUGAAAUCUAUGGGCUCAACCCAUAAACUGCUUUCAAAACUGUUUUUCUUGAGUAGUGCAGAGGUAGGCGGAAUUCCCGGUGUAGCGGUGGAAUGCGUAGAUAUCGGGAGGAACACCAGUGGCGAAGGCGACCUACUGGGCACCAACUGACGCUGAGGCUCGAAAGCAUGGGUAGCAAACAGGAUUAGAUACCCUGGUAGUCCAUGCCGUAAACGAUGAUUACUAGGUGUUGGAGGAUUGACCCCUUCAGUGCCGCAGUUAACACAAUAAGUAAUCCACCUGGGGAGUACGACCGCAAGGUUGAAACUCAAAGGAAUUGACGGGGGCCC